rnacentral:rRNA from 1 species
GACAGAGGGUGGCAAACGUUGUUCGGAAUUACUGGGCGUAAAGCGCGUGUAGGCGGCAGCGUGUGUCGGGCGUGAAAUCCCACGGCUCAACCGUGGAAGUGCACUCGAAACUGCGCAGCUAGAGUCCUGGAGAGGAAGGUGGAAUGCUUGGUGUAGAGGUGAAAUUCGUAGAUAUCAAGCGGAACACCGGUGGCGAAGGCGGCCUUCUGGACAGUGACGUAGACGGCUGAGA